CCCUAUCAGAAUGUGGCUCUGAUGUCCUGAAAUCUCUGCAGCCCUACCUCUGCCAGGAGCAGCACAGGAAUCCACACCCAACUGAUGAGGAAACUAAGGCUCAGAAAGUUCAGGAAACUUGCCAAGAUUACCCACGUGGUUACGAAGAUCUCUGCAUCAGAAUAGAAGCUCAGAGCAGCACGGCAUCCUCAGCCCUCCUUCUCUCUUGAAGCAGACACUGAAAGACAGGAGCCGUCUCCAGGCUGGGAGGAAGGGCUAUGACGGUCAUCUACUGCCACGGCUCUCGAGGCUGACAUCACAACCAAGUGAGGACUUCUACGAGACACCCACACGCAGAGAAAUUUUACCUCAAGAAGCUCAUCCUCUGGCUGCAGAAGUUUCAGUGUAUCAACAGGACCACCUGGAACAAUUGAAGAUAUAUAGUGGUGUCCAUCAAAGGAAUCCACUUCCAUGCCAAGUCUCAGAGUGUGAAUGGGCAGCAACUGUAGCAAAACACAAGCAGUAACAUCAAACAUGACAAGGGCAUAUCCAACUGUUAAUCCCUCUGUCAAGUGUUAUUUUGGCAUGAAAGCCCCACCUCUUAAAUCAGAUCACGAAGAUCCCAGUAGAGGACAAUAAUGGGAAAACUAAUCACCAAUAACAUAUGCAACAUUU